AGAAGGAGCUUGAGAAUUGGCUACUACAUCUAAGGAAGGCAGCAGGCGCGCAAAUUGCCCAAUCCCGAUUCGGGGAGGUAGUGACAAAAAAUAACAAUACCGGGCCUUUUUGGGCUUGGUAAUUGGAAUGAGGGAGAGUUAAACGGACCAUCGAGUAUCCAUUGGAGGGCAAGUCUGGUGCCAGCAGCUGCGGUAAUACCAGCUCCAAUAGCGUAUAUUAAAGUUGUUGCAGUUAAAAAGCUCGUAGUUGGACUUGUGUGCGCUGUCCGCGGGUGGCCUGCGCCCAAAAGGGCGUUUCGGUUCGGCCCCGGUGGCGCCUUGAAAUCUGCAGCUGGGGGGACGUUGGCCCUAACUGGUCGGCGACCGCACGCCGGCUGCUCGGUUACUGUGAGAAAAUUAGAGUGUUCAAGGCAGGCAUUGGGCGCAAUUGAAUACAUUAGCAUGGAAUAAUAAAAUAUGGCUCCUGCCGUAUUUUGUUGGUUUUGACUGGUGGGAGUAAUGAUUGAUAGGGACGGUUGGGGGUGCUAGUAUUGAGCGGCCAGAGGUGAAAUUCAUGGAUUCGCUCAAGACUAACUUAUGCGAAAGCAUUCACCAAGGACGUCCUCUUUAAUCAAGAACGAAAGUUGGGGGAUCGAAGACGAUCAGAUACCGUCGUAGUCUCAACCAUAAACUAUGUCGACUUGGGAUCGGCGGUAGUUUUUUCAUUAAGACACUGUCGGGACCACGGGAGAAAUCAAAGUGUCUGGACUCUGGGGGAAGUAUGGUCGCAAGGCUGAAACUUGAAGGAAUUGACGGAAGGGCACCACCAGGAGUGGAGCCUGCGGCUUAAUUUGACCCAACACGGGGAAACUUACCAGGUCCAGAGAUGUAGAGGAUUGACAGAUUGAAGCUCUUUCUUGAUCACUUCGGUGGUGGUGCAUGGCCGUUCUUAGUUGGUGGAGUGAUUUGUCUGGUUAAUUCCGUUAACGAACGAGACCUCAGCCUGCUAGUGUAGUCGGCUGGAUUGCCUUUGGCGAUCCGUGAUUUCGACUUCUUAGAGGGACAAUCGACGCGCAGUCGAUGGAAGUUUGAGGCAAUAACAGGUCUGUGAUGCCCUUAGAUGUUCUGGGCCGCACGCGCGCUACACUGCUGGGCUCAGCGAGUUUUACUUGGCCGAGAGGCCCGGUUAAUCUUGUGAAAUCCCAGCGUGCUUGGGCUCGCCUCCUGCAACUGGAGGCGCCAACGAGGAAUUCCUAGUAGACGCAGGUCAUCAACCUGCAUCGAUUACGUCCCUGCCCUUUGUACACACCGCCCGUCGUUCCAUAAGAGUGAGGCAUCCGGUGAAUUCUCGGGAGAGCCUGGGCGUGGCCAGCAAUGGUCUGCUCGGGUUUGAACUUGCAUAAACUUGGUGCCUAUGAUUAGGGAAAAGUCGUAACAAGGUU
rnacentral:rRNA from 1 species